UGUUUCCAUCUCCAGCCAAUCCCAGGGAAGGCAGGAGGGCACUCCUCCAAUGGGAGCCCGAGAGCGGUCAGUAGCUGUGGAGGCCUGCUAACCCGCUAGCUCUCCAGCCGGCUGGAGGGACGCGUCCAGUGCGUUCACUAGGUCCAGCCGCCGGCCCCUCGAAUCUGCUCGCGCUCGGCAGCGGCGGCGCGGAGGGCAGGAGGUGUCUGGUCAGCGGGUUGCGGAGGAUCGUGCGGGUAGCAAAGGGAGGGCGAGUGCCCCUGCAGCCCCAGACAACAACCAGAACGAACCUGUCAGGUACUGAGAGGCUUUAAAGGGUGUGACAGCUCUUCAGGCCCGGAACCUGCAUCUGUUGAGGGGCAAGGCUGCUGCCAGGGGUGGAUUCAUGCUCUCAG
rnacentral:lncRNA from 1 species